CGCUGGGUGGCCGUGACGGCAGCAGCAGCAGAAACAGAUGUUGGCAGCCGGGCUGCCAGGAGCAGUUCCGCUGGAUUUUGCCAUUCGAGACUUCCUUCGGGGCACCCCAGCAAACUAAGAUGGAGUAUGAGUGGAAACCUGACAAGCACAGGCUUCAGCAAAUCCUGCAGCUGUUAAAGGAGUCGCAGUCCCCAGACACCACCAUCCAGAGAACCGUGCAACAAAAACUGGAACAACUUAAUAAAUAUUCAGACUUUAACAACUACUUGAUUUUUGUUCUUACAAAAUUAAAAUCUGAAGAUGAGCCCACAAGAUCUCAUCUUGAAGAAUAAUGUGAAAGUACACUUUAAGAACUUCCCAUAUGGUAUAACAGACUUUUAUUAAAAGUGAAUGUUUAAAUAAUAUUGGUGACUCCUCUCCUCUGAUUAGAGCCACCAUUAGUAUUGUGAUCACAACUCUAGCCUCCAAGGGAGAAUUACAGAAUUGGCCUGACCUCUUACCAAAACUCUGUAGCCUGUAUGCUGAAGAUUACAACACCCAUGAGGGAGCAUUUGGCACCCUUCAGAAGAUUUGUGAAGAUUCUGCUGAGAUUUUAGGUAGUUAUGAUUUAGAUCAUCCUUUCAACAUCAUGAUUCCCAAAUUUUUAUAGUUCUUAAAGCACAGUAGUCCAGAAAUAAGGUCUCGCGCUGUUGCACGUGUCAAUCAGUUUAUCAUCAGUAGGACCCAAGCUCUAAUGUUGCACAUUGAUUCUUUUAUUGAGAAUCUCUUUGCAUUGGCUAGUGAUGAAGAACCAGAGGCACGGAAACAUGUGUGCCAAGUACUUGUGAUUAUUUGAAGUUCGAAUGGAUCGCCUGUUGCCUCACAUGUAUAAUAUAGUUGAGUAUGUUCUAUGUAAGACUCAAGAUAUAUGGCCAUGUUUUCACUGAUCAAGGACAAUGGCUCAGCAAUAUGAUGAAGAUGGAAUUGAAGAGGAAGAUGAUGAUGAUGAAAUUGCUGAUGAUGAUACAAUUUCUGACUGGAAUCUAAGAAAAUGUUCUGCUGCUGCCCUAGGUGUUCUUGCAAAUGUGUAUCAUGAUGAACUGCUGCCACAUAUUCCACCCCUUUUGAAAGAAUUACUUUUUCGUCAUGAAUGGGUUGUUAAAGAAUCAGGCAUCUUGGUUUUAGGAGCAAUUGCUGAAGGUUGCAUGCAGGGCAUUAUUCCAUACUUGCCCGAGCUUGUUCCUCACUUUAUUCAAUGCCUCACUGAUAAAAUGACUCUUGUACAUUCCAUAACAUGCUGGACUCUUAGCCACUAUGCAUACUGGGUAGUCAGCCAGCCACCAGACAUGUACCUGAAGCCAUUAAUGACAACUGCUAAAGCGCAUCCUGGAUAGCAACAAGAGAGUACAAGAAGCUGCCGACAGUGCCUUUGCUACCCUGGAAGAGGAGGCUUGUACAGAACUUGUUCCUCACUUUGCUUAUAUACUUGAUACCCUGGUCUUUGCAUUUAGUAAAUACCAGCAUAAGAACCUACUCAUGCUUUACAAUGCCUUAGGAACAUUAGCUGAUUCAGUAGGACAUCAUUCAAACAAACUAGAAUAUAUUCAGAUGCUAAUGCCUCCACUGACCCAGAAAUGGAACAUGUUAAAUGAUGAAGAUAAGGAUCUCUUUCCUUUACCUGAGUGCCUAUCUUCAGUUGCCACAGCACUGCAGUCUGGCUUUCUUCCGUACUGUGAACCUGUGUAAGAGACAAUGAGGAAGACUCUUGCACAAGCCGUGCUAAACAAUGCGCAUCCAGAUCAAUAUGAAGCUCCAGAUAAAGAUUUUAUGAUAGUGGCUCUUGAUCUACUGAGUGGCCUGGCUGAAGGACUUGGAGGCAACAUUGAACAGCUGGUAACCUGAAGUAACAUCCUAACACGAAUGUAUCAGUGAAGGCAGGAUAAAAUGCUAGAAGUUCGACAGAGUUCUUUUGACCCUUUAGGUGACCUCACAAAAGCUUACUUUUAGCAUGUUCAGCCUUGUAUAGCUGAUUUCAUGCCAAUAUUGGGAACCAACCCAAAUCCAGAAUUCUUUUCAGUCUGCAGCAAUGCCACAUGGGCAGUUGGAGAAAUCUCCAUUCAAAUGGGUAUAGAGAUGCGGCCUUAUAUUCCUAUGGUGUUGCACCAGCUUGUAGAAAUCAUUAACAGACCCAACACACCAAAGACAUUGUUAGAGAAUACAGCAAUAACGAUUGGCCGUCUUGGUUACGUGUGUCUUCAAGAGGUGGCCCCGAUGCUACAGCAGUAUGAAGACCCUGGUGCACCUCUCUGAGAAACAUAAGAGACAAUGAGGAAAAGGAUUCAGCAUUCCGUGGAAUUUGUACCAUGAUCAUUGUGAAUCCCAGUGGUGUAAUCCAAGAUUUUAUGUAUUUUUUUGUGUGAUGCUGUUACAUCAUGGAUUAACCCAAAAGAUGAUCUCAGAGACAUGUUCUGUGAGAUCCUUCAUGGAUUUAAAAAUCAAGUUGGCAAUAAAAUUGGAGGCAUUUCUCUAACCAGUUUCCUCUUCUCUUAAAAAGAGCAUCUUGCAGCUGUUUAUGGUGUUUAA